GGGAAGGUGGCUCAAUGGUAGAGCGCUUGCCUUGCAUGCAUGAGGCCCUGGGUUC
rnacentral:tRNA from 1 species